AUGGAGGAGCCUGUUCACGACGGGGUGGCCUCGCCGGCCGCUCCCGGGACCGGGAAGUCCAAGCUAGAAGCCUUGACCAAGGAAGAUCUUAUCAAGUUUGCCAAGAAGCAGAUGAUGCUAAUACAGAAAACAAAAUUGAGAUGUACAGAGUUGGAGAAAGAAGUUGAAGAAUUGAGGUCAAAGCUGGUUGCUGGAGGAGCUGACAUCAUUAAGGCCUUGACAGAACGUCUGGAUGCUGUUCUUUUGGAAAAAGCAGAGACUGAGCAACACUGUGUUUCUCUGAAGAAGGAAAAUAUUAAAAUGAAGCAAGAGGUUGAGGAUUCUGUAACUAAGUUGGAAGAUGUGCAGAAAGAGUUGGAACAAUCACAAAGAAGCUAUGGAAAAGAAAUAGAAAAUUUGAGAAAUGAAUUAACAACAGUACAUUCCAAAUACAGUAAUGAUAAAGCUGAUUGGCAAAAGGAAGUGGAAGAAGCAGCAAAAAAACAAUUAGAGCUUUCAGAACAGCUCAGAUUUCAGAGUGAUUCUGAAGAUAAUGUUAAAAAGCUGCAAGAAGAGAUUCAGAAAAUUAAGCUAGUCUCUGAGGAUCAAAUUUUAUGUCUGCAAAAGCAGUUAGAAAUUGCCACAAAUAAAAAGGAUCAAGAAAUUACUCACCUCCAAGGAGUGAUUGAGGCUAAUUGUCAGCAGUACCAAAAAGAUAUUAAUAGUUUGCAGGAAGAACUUGUACAGUUGAAAUCUACACACCAAGAAGAGGUGAAAGAAUUGAUGUGCCAAAUUGAAACAUCUGCCAAAGAACACGAAGCAGAAGUAAAUUAUUUGAUCCAGCUAAAGGAUAACUUAGUCAGAAAGUGUGAGGCAGGUGAGAUGAACAUUCAGGAGAAGUAUAAAUGUGAAUUAGAAAAUGAAGGGAAAGCCUCAGGUGCAGACCAAGAAAAUCAGGUGUGCUCUUUGCUCUUACAGGAAGAUUCUCUUGUAGAACAAGCAGUGAAUGAAAAAGUUAGACACUUAGAAGAUGCCCUAAAAGAACUGGAGUCUCAACAUAGCAUCUUAAAAGACGAGUUAACUUACAUGAAUAAUCUAAAAUUAAAACUUGAAAUUGACGCCCAACAUAUAAAGGAUGAGUUUUUUCAUGAACGGGAAGAUUUAGAGUUUAAAAUUAAUGAAUUAUUACUAGCUAAAGAAGAACAGGGGUAUAUAAUCGAGAAAUUAAAAUCUGAGCUAGAAGAUGCAAAUAAACAGUUUUGCUGCACCAUCGAACAACAUAACAAGGAAGUACAGAGUCUGAAGAAACAGCAUCAAAAAGAAACAGAACUAAAUGAGACAUUUUUGUCAGAUUCAGAAAAAGAAAAGUUAACAUUAAUGUUUGAAAUACAGGGUCUUAAGGAACAGUGUGAAAAACUACAACAAGAAAAGCAAGAAGCAAUGUUAAACUACGAGGGUUUACGAGAGAUUAUGGAAAUUUUACAGACAGAGCUGGGGGAAUCUGCUGAAAAAAUAAGUCAAGAGUUUGAAUCAAUGAAGCAACAACAAGCAUUUAAUAUUAAUGAACUUCAGCAGAAGCUCCAAACUGCAUUUAAUGAAAAAGAUGCUCUCCUUGAAACUGUGAAUUGUCUCCAGAGAGAAAAUGAUAACUUACUGUCACAGCGGGAAUGUGUACCAGAACUUGAAAAUACCAUAAAGAAUCUUCAAGAGAAGAAUGAACUGUAUCUAGUUAGUCUCAGUCAGAGAGAUACCAUGUUACAAGAAUUUGAAGCAAAGAUAAGUUCUCUUACUGAAGAAAAAUAUGAUUUCAUAAGUAAGAUGAAAAGUUCUCAUGAAGAGAUGGAUAAUCUUCACAAAAAAUGUGAAAGGGAAGAAAGGUUGACUGUAGAACUUAGGGAAAAAGUGGAUCAGACUGCCCAGUACAACAGUGAACUAGAACAGAAGGUGAAUGAAUUAACAGCAGGACUGGAAGAAACUUUAAAAGAAAAGGAUGAAAAGAACCAAAAACUGGAAAAACUUACAGCUCAGUUGAAAACUCUCUCCGAAGACCAGGAAGCCAUGUCAUUGGAAGUGAGGUCUCUUCGUGAAGAAAAUAGCAGACUGAGUUUGGAGAAGAACCUGCUGAGCAGGGAUCUGGAAGCCCUCCUGUCUCAAAAAGAAGGAGAUGUUGCACUUCAGAAGCAGAUCUCUGAAGUAGAAGAGGAACUUCGGUUAGCUGUCAGAGAAAGGGAUGAUUUGAAUAAACUUUUGGAAAACCAGCAAGUUCAGAAGUUGUUUGUCAAAGCUCAGUUGUGUGGUUUUCUUGAACAGAUGGAGUCAAAGGUUUCACAAGAAAGGGAAGAACAGGAUGUUGUAAAUAUCCUACAAGCCAUGGGUGAAUCCUUAGAUAAAAUAAAUGAAGAAAAAUACAACUUGGCUUUUCAGUAUGAUGAAAGAAAAGUAGAGUUAGAAAAAAAGAUUAAGCUCCUUCAAGAAGAGCAUAUGGUUCAGUGUGAGGAACUUAGGUCUCUACUAACAGAUUAUGAGCAAGAGAAAGUUGUCCUAAGGAAAGAGUUAGAAGAAGCCCUCUUGGAAAAGGAGGCCCUGCAGUCUGACCUUCUGGAGAUGAAGAAUGCCGGUGAACAAACAAGGUUUGAAAAUCAGAAUCUCCUAAUUCAGGUUGAAGAAAUGUCUCAAAAAUUGUGUAGAGAAAAUGAAAACCAUCACGAAAAAGAAAAAGAUUUUAUAAAAGAACUUGAAAACCUAAGGUCAUUAUUGGAACAGAAAGAAUCUGAAUUGCAAAAUGUGAAAGCAGAGUUAAUAUCAUUAAAGGAUUCCUUUAAGAAAUCACCUUCUGUAGAAAGUGAUCAACCUUCAGUAAAAGAGUUUGAAGAAAAAAUAGGAUACUUGGAAAAAGAAGCCAAAGAGAAAGAGGAGAAAAUAAGUAAGUUAAAACUAGUUGCUGUGAAAGCAAAGAAAGAACUAGAUUCUAGCAGGAAAGAAGCCCAGACGCUCCAGGAAGAACUUGAAUUUGUUCGCUCAGAAAGGGAUCAGUUGUCUACUUCCAUGAGAGAUCUCAUUCAAGGAGCUGAAAACUAUAAGUGUGAAAAAUUAACCUCAGAUAAUGAAGAUUUCCUGGCCCGUAUCGAGACACUGCAGUCUAACGCCUGCUUAUUGGAAGUGCAGAUUUUAGAAGUCCAGAAAGCCAAGGCUAUGGCAGACAAAGAGCUGGAAGCUGAAAAACUUCAGAAAGAACAGAAAAUAAAGGAGUAUGCCAGUUCCGUAAAUGAACUAGAAGAACUUCAGUUACAGCUUCAAAAGGAAAAGAAACAGCUUCAGAAAACCAUGCAAGAAUUAGAGCUGGUUAGAAAGGAUGCCCAGCAGACCACGCUAAUGAACAUGGAAAUUGCUGAUUAUGAGCGCUUGAUGAGAGAGCUGAAUCAGAAGUUAGCUAAUAAAAACAGCAAGAUAGAAGAUUUGGAACAGGAAAUAAAAAUCCAAAAACAGAAACAAGAGACCCUGCAAGAAGAAAUGACUUCGCUGCAGGCUGUGGUACAGCAGUAUGAGGAAAAGAAUACCAAGAUCAAACAGCUACUUGUGAAAACCAAGAAAGAACUGGCAGAUGUGAGGCAAGCGGAGACUGAUCACUUAAAGCUUCAGGCAUCUUUAAAGGGUGAACUGGAGACCAGCCAGCAGCAAGUAGAAGUCUAUAAAAUUCAGCUGGCGGAAGUGACGGCAGAGAAGCACAAAGCCCAUGAGCACCUGAAGGCAUCGGCGGACCAGCACCAGCGCACACUGGGUGCCUACCAGCAGCGGGUAUCAGCCCUGCAGGAGGAAUGCCGCGAGGCCAGGGCAGAACAAGCUGCAGUCGCCUCUGAAUUUGAGAGCUACAAGGUCCGGGUCCACAACGUUUUAAAACAGCAGAAAAAUAAGUCUGUGUCUCAGACUGAGGCUGAGGGGGCCAAACAAGAAAGAGAACAUCUAGAAAUGCUGAUUGACCAACUGAAGCUAAAGUUACAAGACACCCAGAACAGCUUACAGAUCAGCGCCUCGGAGCUGCAGGCCCUGCAGUGUGAACACUGCGCCCUGCUGGAGAGGCACAACAGGGUGCUGCAGGAGGCCGUGGGCAAGGAGGCUGAGCUCCGCGAGAAGCUGUGCUCUGUGCAGUCGGAGAACUCCGCCUUGAUGGCUGAGCACACGCAGACUGUCGAUCAGCUCACGGCCCAGCACGAGGCCCUACGCGGCGGCUUCCGGGAGCAAGUGCGGCAGCUGCAAGAGGAGCACCGGAGGACGGUGGAGACGCUGCAGCAGCAGCUGUGCCGGCUAGAGGCCCAGCUUCUGGAGCCCCGCAGCGAGCCGGCCACGCGGAGCCCAGCUUCUUCCCAGCAACCUUUGAGGAGCCUUCGAGAGAGGAGAAGUGCAGACCUCCCGUUCCUGGAUGUGCAGGUCACGGCCCGGGAGGAGGGGGAGGGGAUGGAGACCACGGACCUGGAGCGCGGCUCUCCCACCAGCACCGCUGCACAGUCCCUGGAGCAGCUGCUCAGUUCUCCUGAAGCCAGGCUCGAGCCGCCUGCGUGGCACAACGAAUUCACCAAAGAAGAGUUGGUUCAGAAGCUCAAUUCCACCACCAAGAGUGCCGACCACUUAAAUGGCCUGCUUCGGGAAACGGAAGCCACCAAUGCCAUCCUCAUGGAGCAGAUUAAGCUUCUGAAGAGUGAAGUCAGGCGGCUGGAGCGGAACCAGGAGCGGGAGAAGUCAGCAGCCAACCUGGAGUACCUGAAGAAUGUGCUGCUGCAGUUCAUCUUGCUGAAGCCGGGCAGCGAGCGGGCGCGGCUGUUGCCUGUGGUGGACACCAUGCUGCAGCUCAGCCCUGAGGAGAAGACCCGGCUGGCGGCCGCCGCCCAAGGUGAGCAGGGCGCCAGACGGGGUUGUGCUGUGGACCAGUAUGUCCCGUGCUUGGUAGGAAACGCUGGCUCUGCUUCCUGGGGACGGCAGCAUGUGUGCAUCCCUUCCACGUAG
rnacentral:lncRNA from 1 species